GACGAACGCUGGCGGCGUGCUUAACACAUGCAAGUCGAACGAUGAUGCUGGAGCUUGCUCCAGUUGAUAGUGGCGAACGGGUGAGUAACACGUGAGCAAUCUGCCCUUGACUCUGGGAUAACUGCGGGAAACUGUAGCUAAUACCGGAUACUUUCACCGGGGGGCAUCCUCUGGUGAUGAAAGAAUUUCGGCCAAGGAUGAGCUCGCGGCCUAUCAGCUUGUUGGUGAGGUAACGGCUCACCAAGGCGACGACGGGUAACCGGCCUGAGAGGGUGACCGGUCACACUGGGACUGAGACACGGCCCAGACUCCUACGGGAGGCAGCAGUGGGGAAUAUUGCACAAUGGGCGCAAGCCUGAUGCAGCAACGCCGCGUGAGGGAUGAAGGCCUUCGGGUUGUAAACCUCUUUUAGCAGGGAAGAAGCGAAAGUGACGGUACCUGCAGAAAAAGCACCGGCUAACUACGUGCCAGCCGCCGCGGUAA
rnacentral:rRNA from 1 species